UUAUCUAAAGAACUUGUUUUAAUUUCGUGCAUCGAAUGCAACCAGAAUCGAGGAAAUUGGAAGUAGUCACGGUAGACUUCGCGGACGGGACGGAAACCGUAUUGAUUGUGAAGGAAGAUCAGAAUGGAUGCACUUGAUCACAUGCUGACCGACCCCCUAGACUCAGGGGAGGGCAGUGAUGGGCGCAUCACUGAAGAGUGCAUGUUGGGAAACUGUCAAGUGAGUCUUCCAGAAGACCUGCUUGAGGAUCCUGAAAUAUUCUUCUCUGUGCUGAGUGAAAGCACCUGGUCUGAAGUACUGACAGAUGACCAGAGGCAGCAUCUCCGUCAACUGUUACCACACUUUCAAGAAGACAACACUUGUGAGCAGGACAGCACCAUCAGCAAACUCUUCAACAAACAGAACUUCUGCUUCGGAAACCCCUUGCACCUUGCACAGAAACUGUUCCAAGAUGGCCAUUUCAAUCCAGAAGUGGUUAAGUACAGACAACUGUGUGCCAAGUCCCAGAAGAAACGCCAGCUGAACUCGUUGCAGCAGUACUACCACAAACUCCUUAAACAGAUCCUGGUCUCUAGAAAGGAACUGCUAGAGUUGGCUGUCCGCAGUGGCCCUGACAUUGCGGUGAACAGAAAGUAUCCCACCCAGACACAUGGUGAGGUGCAGGAACAGAGGGUCAGAGGAAGAGUGUGCCGGAUACUGAGGGAAGUUAAAACUGAGUGUGGAGACAGCAAUGCCUCAUCUGACGAUGAUGAUACAGCCUCUUGGCUGCCAACACCUCAAUCUCCUUCCUCUCCAACGCCCACAGUCUCUGUCAGGGUUUUGCCCAGUCUCUCCACCCAGGACAUGAAGACCACCGAUAAGCAAGAACUGGGAGAGAAGGACAUGAGAGCCAUGCUACGGAGACAUAGAGAGAAGAGACGACGACAACCGGAUCAUCCAGACUUGAUGACUUCUGACAUCCGCCUGGGUGACAUGAUGUCUAGAGUGAACAUAGGUCGUAAAGGCUCCAUGAUGACACUGUUUGACCUGGCUCUGCCUAAGAGGAAAAUGAGGGAGGAGAGGAGAAAGAAGAAGAUGAGGACAAUUAAAGUGGAGUCUGAGGAUCCCUGUGAGGCUCUGAUGCCUUCAGAAGCCCCAGCUCCAACAGUUAACAUCACAGCUACUCUGCCUGAGACCCCAGUCACUCCACUGCCCAGUGUCAAGGAAGAGCCGAUGGAGGAGGUGCAGAACAGCCCUGUCAUGGUGGAGGAGAUUGCAGUGAGCUUCUUCAACCUGCUGGAGAACAUCCUAAAACUAGACGGCCUCGCCAGCACCACCAUGUUGGAGGAGAAGGUCCAACAGUGGCAGACAUCUCCAGCUAGUUCCCUGAACCCCUGGUUCUCCUCGGCCUCCUGCUGGUCAGAGAUGGUGCUGCCGGCCCUGCACUUCCUGGCUGGGGAGACUAAAGUCGGUAUGUUGGUUCUUCCCAGUGGCUUCACUCCCUAUGUGGCGUUCAGGGAAAACUCACAGCGAUGGAAAUGGAUUGGUCCCAGUCAGGAUGGAGAGAAGGAUUUGAGUGCUCUGUGUCAGCUGUGGGUCGACUCCAAGGACUUGGUUGUGGUCAAGACAGAAUGUGAAGAACUAACAGAGAUGACUUCUCCCACCCCUAGAGUCAGUUGGACUGACUUCGUGGUGCGGCCCAGCACAGGAGACGAGAGGCAUGUUUUCCAAGUGCAGGAGCAGCAGCGGUAUGACCAGCCACACAAAGCCUUCACCUUCAGAAUGCAUGGCUUUGAGUCUGUGGUGGGGCCUGUUAAGGGGGUCUUUGACAAGGAGAUGUCUCUCAACAAAGCCAGAGAACACACUCUGCUGCGCUCCGACCGCCCAGCUUAUGUCACCAUCCUCUCCUUGGUGCGGGACGCAGCAGCCCGGCUGCCCAACGGAGAGGGGACCAGAGCUGAGAUCUGUGAGCUGCUCAAGGACUCUCAAUUCCUGGCACCAGAUGUCACCAGUGCUCAGGUGAACACGGUUGUGAGUGGGGCUCUGGACAGGCUGCACUAUGAGAAGGACCCCUGUGUGAAGUAUGACAUCGGCCGCAAGCUGUGGAUCUACCUGCACCGUGACCGCGGUCAGGAGGAGUUUGAGAGGAUUCACCAGGCUCAAGCUGCUGCUGCCAAGGCCAGAAAGGCUCUGCAGCAGAAACCCAAACCUGCGUCUAAGCCUAAGUCUGGAAGUAAGGAGGGGGGUGGUAAGACCCCUGGAGGCCUGGAAGCAAGUGAUGUGGGGGGUCCCAUGUCCCCAACUCCGACCACCCCCACUACCAGCACGCCUGGAACCCCCAAAUCACCCCUCGCCCCUAUAGCCACAACCCCCACCAAAGCUGGGAUCCCAGAUUCAGUCAAGACCAGUCCUGGUGUUCUAUUGGUGUCUCCUCCUCCCAUGCCCCAGCUGGGGACCCUGUUGUCCAGCAGCCAGUCUGGCCCCCAGGUCUCUCAGCCAGCUACCUCCCAACACACAGCCAGGGUAGUGGGCCACCAGUCAGGCACUCUCCCACAGGUACGAGUGGUUUCUUCCCAGACAGCAGGAGGACAGCAUGCCACACUGGUGCACCAAACCCCUCAUCAAAUCAGAGUGCCAGUCACCAUGGGAACCAAGGGCAUCACACAGGCUGUGGUGUCAUUACCACUGAGGACCCAGUCUGCUGGUAGCCCCAUCCAGGUGCAGGCAUCCAGAGGGCAGACAACCCUGUCAGUGUCAGGCCUGACCACUGCUGUUACUGUACUCAAACCUCAGACUGCAUCCCCUGGCAGCCCAGCACACAACCCUACCUCCCCCGCUGUCCGUCAGGGAGUCACCAGCCAGAACAUCAUCAAACAGGUGGCUAUCACAGGCCAGUUGGGCAUAAAGUCUCAAGGUAGACCGGGUCUUCCAAUAACGACUACCAAUCUUCGCAUCCAGGGCAAGGAUGUGCUCCGCCUGCCCCCCUCCUCCAUCACCACAGACUCUAAAGGACAGACGGUGCUGCGGAUCACUCCUGACAUGAUGGCCACCCUAACUAAGUCCCCUCUCACCACCGUCAAACUCACCCCCGACAUGUUAGGCACUGCCACUACCAAGAGCAUAUCUGCUACUCUCCAUGUAGCCCCACCCCACUCCACCUCCAGCCCAGCCUCCUCCUCGGGUGAAGUCCGGACCAGCAAGGCCUCUGCUGGCACCACCACCCUGUUGAAGGCUGCAGGGGACACUAUCCGCCUGAUGCCCACCCUAGCAGUCACUAUGGCCGAACAGAAGACCAGAACCUUCUCCACCGUCUCCUCGUCUGACUCGAAGAGUGGCACCACCAUACGGAUCAUGCCCGGCCUCGGGGUCAUCCCACAUAAACAGGGCCAAACCAUCACCAUGACAACCACCACUGGCAGCAAACCAGUCUCCACUGGAGCCGCCACUGUCACCAUAGCCACCAGCGGACUGGCCGGAGCUAAAGGGUUGACGGUGGGAUCUUCUGCCUCAGGCUCCCUGACUCUGGGAACAGCCACAGCUACUGUCCGCCAGGUCCCCGUCACAGCCACAGUGGUGUCCACACAACCAGGGAAGUUACCAGCUCGGUUCACAGUGCCUCUGUCUGUCCUCAGCCAACCACUGAAAAGUAAGAGUGUGAUGACCACGCCCAUGCUGAAAGGAAACCUCAGUACCAACUCACUGUGUAUGUAUAUGGUCGGUGCAGUAUCAGCAGUCUGGGCAGGAACAUCAUCCUCACCACCAUGCCUGCCGGUACCAAGCUGAUAGCUGGGAACAAGCCAGUCAGCUUUGUCACGGCUCAACAGUUACAGCAGCUGCAGCAGCAGGGACAGGCCACACAGGUGCGGAUCCAGACGGUGCCAGCCCAGCAGCUCCAGCAGCGCUCUGCAGCAGGCUCCCCCAAGUCAAUGUCCACUGUCGUAGUCACCACCGCACCCUCACCCAAACGGGCCCCGGACCCGCCACCACCAACACAGUGACGCGUAUUCCCUAAGCCAGCUACUGCUCUGGGCAGUGCCACCGCUCCAGAGGCAGGUGAUGCUUAGGAACCACAGCCCAACUCUGCUCUCUCAAUGUUUAGGACGGAUGUCUGGAGAUGAACACAGGAGUAAUCUGGCAGCAGAUGAACAUAGCAGUAAUUCCAGGACAGCAUAUCACUAGACCAUUUAUAGACAGUGGUUUCACCUGACAUGUCUGUUGUGCAAGGCUAAGUUUCAGCAGCACUAAUGAAAUAGCCUGCAUUUAGGGAGUAAACGUUAUUUAUGAUAAGGGUUACAUGGAGAAAAUUGGACCACUUUGAAAUGAAAAUGUAUGGCCCUCCCUUCAGCAAAAAAUAUAUUUGACCUAAACCCUCCCUGAACACACAAUAAUAAUAAACCUAAGUGGAUAGCAGAGUACGUCUAGCGUUUAGCCUCACUUCUGGGACAGACCAGAGCCUUACAUGUGCAGUUUUACAAACUGUUCUUCGUCCUGUAAGCAUUACAUGGCAACACAUGACUUUUGAGUGCGCACAUGGCUGAGGCUAGAAGGUUGUGGGUUCGCAGACCAAUGUGAACAAGAGUAGGGGUAGAAAUAUCUCCUUUGUAGUAAAGCAUUGCAUGAAUCUAUUAUCAUGUCAUGCAGUUCUACUUAAUUUUACAUGUUAGAAUAUUUUUUUAAUGCUGCACAAAUGACCAAACGAAGGGACGGAGAGAGAGGCCUAUCUGUUCAUCUUGUCAUAUUUCUCUACUGUCAAAUCAGUGUGUCUUGUUUGCAACAACACUGACCCUGUUUGCAAAUAAUUAAAUCUGAGAUGUCAUUUUGAAUCUGAACAUGGUACUUUCAAAAGUUAGGCCCUACCUUUUCCACCCCAGACAGAGUAGGCCUACCUUUUCCACCCCAGACAGAGUAGGGCUACCCUUUCCACCCCAGACAGAGUAGGCCUACCUUUUCCACCCCAGACAGAGUAGAUCUAACUUUCCACCCCAGACAGAGUAGACCUACCUUUCCACCCCAGACAGAGUAGGCCUACCUUUUCCACCCCAGACAGAGUAGGGCUACCCUUUCCACCCCAGACAGAGUAGGCCUACCUUUUCCACCCCAGACAGAGUAGAUCUAACUUUCCACCCCAGACAGAGUAGACCUACCUUUCCACCCCAGACAGAGUAGACCUACCUUUCCACCCCAGACACAGUAGGCCUACCUUUCCACCCCAGACACAGUAGGCCUACCUUUCCACCCCAGACACAGUAGGCCUACCUUUCCACCCCAGACACAGUAGGCCUACCUUUCCACCCCAGACAGAGUAGGCCUACCUUUCCACCCCAGACAGAGUAGGCCUACCUUUCCACCCCAGACAGAGUAGGCCUACCUUUCCACCCCAGACAGAGUAGGCCUACCUUUCCACCCCAGACCGAGUAGGCCUACCUUUCCACCCCAGACAGAGUUGGCCUACCUUUCCACCCCAGACAGAGUUGGCCUACCUUUCCACCCCAGACAGAGUAGGCCUACCUUUCCACCCCAGACCGAGUUGGCCUACCUUUCCACCCCAGACCGAGUUGGCCUACCUUUCCACCCCAGACAGAGUAGGCCUACCUUUCCACCCCAGACCGAGUUGGCCUACCUUUCCACCCCAGACCGAGUUGGCCUACCUUUCCACCCCAGACAGAGUAGGCCUACCUUUCCACCCCAGACCGAGUAGGCCUACCUUUCCACCCCAGACCGAGUAGGCCUACCUUUCCACCCCAGACAGAGUAGGCCUACCUUUCCACCCCAGACAGAGUAGACCUACUGACACAGAAAAAUGUAAGCUUUAACUGCUGGCUACUCUUCCUCUAUGGCUUAACCCAGUGAGAGAAGGUCGUAAGUGCUUCCCUCAAAGCUGUCUGAGUUUAAACAUAUUUUAUUGUACAGAAAGUGAAUAGCUCAAUCAAUUGAUAGUGACAGAAUUAGAUUGCUUCCCAAGCAAAGUCAUUGUUUUUGUCUUCUCGGAUAUAAGAGGUUGUAGAUCAGCCUCUCAAUGUCAAAGAAACGAAACAAUGAUAUCCCCAAUGAUACAGAUUGUUUCUAGCAUAAAGCAUCGCGGACGAAAGUGAUUUUAUAGAUCACUUUAUAUAAUCGGAUCCAUUCUAUUUUCUUCAACAUCUUAAGAUAACAAGGGGUAGGGCUGUGCUUUUUGCCAUUCUCUUUAGCAAAAGUAGGCAUAUGACAUAACAUAGCAGCCUAAUUUCUUCUGCCAGACAGGUAGGCCUACCUCUUAUUUCUUAAAUAAGAAGAUACAGGCUCCAACACAAAGCCCUCGUGUUAGUAAAGUCUAAUAAAAAUGAACUAUGCCUACUUUCAGCACCAUGAGCUGUUUCUGAUUGAUUGUGCCGCGGCUGCUGCUUCAAGUCUCAGCAACACAAUGUAAGUUGCUGGAACCUGUCUUAUUAUUUACCUCUGGUAAAUAGGCCUACAUAAUGGGAAAGAAACAUAUAGUUUUUUAAUCAAAUCUAUUAUAAUAGCAAGCUAUCAAAGUUUACCUCCGAUCCUCCUCAUCUUCACGCUCUCCUUCUCAAACUGACCUGAACAGAACAUGGGCAAGAUAGUCCAUUUUUUUGGACUAGCCCUAAUAAAAUAUUAUUUUUGGAAGCAGCCUUUGAGUCUCCUCCUGAACUACCAACAUAGGUCUACACAGCACAGCAUUGGUUAGGCAGUACACAAAAAAAGGUUUUGAUCAGCAAGAGCAGAGCAGGCCGGGGCUCAGGGUUGGAACAUCCAUUGCAGUGUGUAAUGCUAUCUUAGAAAUAUAACUUUGUUCUGUGCUUGUGUGAGGAUGCACUUCGUAGCCUAUAGCAGGGAUCAACUAGAUUCAGCCGCGGGACAAUAUUUUUCUGGAGCGGAUGGUCGGGUGGCCAGAACAUAAUUUCAAAUCAUUUGUAGACUGCAAAUUGACCACAAGAAGCCCAACCGGAUAUAAUGUUUGACUAAAACGUAAUCAUUUCAAACCUUACUUACAUUUGUAUAUGAUCACGUGUCUAUUAUGCGUGGAAAUACUUGGGAAUAGAUUUCUUAAAUUAAAACCACUUGGAGCUGAUUUCCUGGUGUCUUUACAGCCUUAUGUCCAACAAUGAAAAUUCCACACGCAAAAGAAAACUUGUGGGACCAAAUAAAAUGUGGCCCGCAGGCCGCCAGCUAGAGAACCCUGGCUUAUAGGGUAUGGGUCAUUUGAUUGAGACCAUACUAAAUAGCUUAUAAGGGCACUCAAAUAGCAUGCCCAGUGGAGAAUCAUAGAUGAGGGGUGGCAUCGGGCACACAUCAAGCAUCUCCUUUAUAAGCAACCAAUUCUAAAACACUGAAAAAUAUAGAAAUUUCAUCAAUUACAAAUUAUGAUGCUCCCCUGGACUAGAUAGAAAAAAAUACUAAACACUCCUCUUGAAUAAAAUUGACUAGGCAUGACCCUCCUUCAUUUUCCUCCAGGUACCCAUUUAUGUCAAUUUCAAUCCAUCCUUACUGUAAGCUUUCUUACAGUAGGUGUCUAAGCUUUCUUACAGUAGGUGUCUAAGCUUUCUUACAGUAGGUGUCUAAGCUUUCUUACAGUAGGUGUCUAAGCUUUCUUACAGUAGGUGUCUAAGCUUUCUUACAGUAGGUGUCAGGCAAGGCUCGGUCAACAGCUUGUACAUGUCACUAUGCAAACUAGACUGAAACUAGCCUAGUUUUUACUAAUGGUAAACAGACAGUGUAUUUUCACCUUACUCAUUGAUCUUUAUAAACAAAUUCAAAUUGAUUGCUAUUUAUUUCUAUCCAAUUUAAAGCCAGAAUGGUAUGAUGUCUUUUCCAGUAAGCAGAUACAUUGUUCUAGGUAUCCUUCAUCUCUAAGUCUAUGGAGGGCCUUAUCAUUGCAAUUACUGACGAUUUGAAUGCAAAGUUUGUGGUUCCAUCUUUAAGACAUGGUAUAAAAAUAUGAUCGCAGUGUAACCUCUCUUGACAUCCUGUCGUUGUUCAUUUCAUGAUGAUUCUGGUUGUAACAUAGUGUUCUUUUUUUCUGUGGUUGUGAAAGUAGAAGUAUUUCAUACCUAAAAAAUAAAUAACUACAGUACAAUGAA